GGAAGUGGGGAUGACGUCAAGUCCUCAUGGCCUUUAUGUCCAGGGCUACACACGUGCUACAAUGGGCGGUACAAAGGGUUGCAAUACCGUAAGGUGGAGCUAAUCCCAAAAAGCCGCUCUCAGUUCAGAUUAGAGUCUGCAACUCGACUUUAUGAAGGCGGAAUCGCUAGUAAUCGCGGAUCAGCAUGCCCGCGGUUCCGAAUACGUUCCGGGCCUU
rnacentral:rRNA from 1 species